UACGUAGGGUGCAAGCGUUAAUCGGAAUUACUGGGCGUAAAGCGAGCGCAGGCGGUUAUUUAAGUCAGGUGUGAAAGCCCCGAGCUCAACUUGGGACGUGCAUUUGAAACUGGAUAACUAGAGUGUGUCAGAGGGGGGUAGAAUUCCACGUGUAGCAGUGAAAUGCGUAGAGAUGUGGAGGAAUACCGAUGGCGAAGGCAGCCCCCUGGGAUAACACUGACGCUCAUGCUCGAAAGCGUGGGUAGCAAAC
rnacentral:rRNA from 1 species